ensembl:lncRNA novel transcript
GUUAGAAGCUGCUCCUCUGACCUCUGGAGGACCCGGCACUCCGAACCCCGCGCAGCCUGGGAAAGGCCUGAGAUUCCCCGCUAUUGGGAUUCACAUCACGACGCGGCGGCCCCAACUCGGGGAGGAAUUAGACACGGCGGCACUGCUGGUCCAACCUGGAAUCCCUGCACAGCAUUCUGACCUGGGGCUGCACAGCCUCAUGGAAACUCCUCCAGAGACCCCAAAAGCCACCUCUGAAAGAAGGUGAUCCAGCAUCCCCACCCCUCUCCUCUGCCCACCCGAGCCCCAGAGCACACGCGUCCCUUCCAUUGCCCUCCAUCUCCAAGGCAUUAGCAGAUGGUCACCCUUGCUUUAGGCAGGCCCCAGAGCUCCCUGCCUCAAAGUGUCCCUUUCCCUUUUGCCUGGAUUUCCAGGGAUCUCUGGGCUGGUCUGUGGGGCCCCAGGCAGGCACCAAGUAGGCCCAUCUUGGCUCUGAGGCUGAGAGAGGAAGUGGGCUUUGUUGUGCCUGGGCAUCGUCUGGAUUUUCCCACCCUGCUCUUCUUGGCAGGAGAGCCCUCAGCUGGAGAAGCUGCCUCCGCCCCACACCAGCGUCCCCUCCUUCCCAGCUCAGCACCAUCCAUCUCCGUCUCCCUAGAGCAAGGAAUGUGCUCCAGGACACUGUGGGGCUUGUUCCCAAUCCCCUUCUAGCUCAUUUCACUCGGGCUUUUAUAGAUUUGCCUCCAUCCCAUGGGCUGCUGUCUGGGUUCUGGCUCUGAAGACACAGACAGAGGUUUCCCCCUCCUCCCUGCAAUUCCUCACACUUCAUUUUGUCCCAACAGCAUCUGAGGAGGCUGCACUGUGGGGAGUCAAGGCACCCUGGUGUGGGAGGCGAUGGGGGUUGGGUGGUGGAGGGUGGGUCCCCUUCCCCAUCUUUCCAGCCCCUGGCCCUGCUGGCCUCAGCUCUGGCACUGCCCACAGCGGCUGCAUUAUUCCCCGUGCUGCAGCCAUCCAUCCCCUCACCCGCCCUUCCUGUCCACGCCCCACAAGCCUCGAUUAUUGGUGAAAUUAGCACCGGGCUUCUUGUUGGCGGUUGCUAAUUAAGACCAUUAAUAAACGUGAUUAUUAAUGCUGUAGCAGGCAGCAGCCCAGGCAUCUAAUCACCACACCGCUGGCAAGCGCUGGGCUGCCGGCUUCCACCCGGCUCCAUCUUGGGAAGGACCUGCUCCCUUUCCCCGGCCAGCUCACCUCAGGCCCUGCCAGGGGAGGGUGGGUGGAGACAAAGGCACCACGGGGGGUUCACUGAGCCUUGCAGAGAAAAGGAGGGACAACCUGCACUCCAGGGAGCCCCCAAACUGGGCAGGCCGAGGCCAGGAUGUGUGCCUGUAAGAGGCCUAUGAACCCACCUGAUGCCGGUACGCAGGGUGGACCGGGUGGUGAGUGCGAAGGCUCUGGAGAGAGCGUGGGUGGGCGCCUGCACCAGCAGCCCUGCUCUCUGGCAGCCCACAGCUCACGUGCCCUCCUGAGUCCCCCUUUGCCCGCCGCCCUGCAAACCAGGCUGUGGAGUGUGGCCCCUCCUGCGGGGGUUUCACAGUGGUUAGGGGCCAUCUCAGCGAGACAGUGAGGUGCUCUCUGUGAGAAAGUAGAAGACACCUCUGACCAGAAUGUUUCCCUCAGUUACUGGGUGCCCACCAUGCGUCAGGCCAGAGGGUACUGUCAUAAACAAAAGGCAGUCUCCUCCUGGGAACUGCCCCAUCACAUUAGACUACAUGAGGUCUGUCCCUGAAUGUCUCCCUCACCCCUUCCCUCACCCCUUUACAUGGCGUCCCACCUCACACUGCCUGUAAUGAGCUGUCUGUUUAUCUGUUCACACCAACGGGGCUGUGCUGUGCGCGAUGACAGGGGCUGUGUGUCCCUGAGGACAGUGGAAGCCCACUCUGGCUUUGGUGAUGAAGCCUUUCCUGCCCCUGUCUCCAGGCCACCCUCCUUCCACGCCCUUCCCUGCUUCGCUGUCCCCUGCCUGACCUCCAGCCUCGGGCUACCAGAGCAGGAGGGGUUGCAAGGAGCCCUCUGGUCCAGUUUGCCCCACUUGGACCCCGUCAGGGCAGGAGAGCCUGCCUGCUCUCAGCUGGGACUCGAGGAGGUAGGAUGUGGCCUGCCAGGCAGGGCGGGCCCUGGGGGCCUUUCCAGGAGCUGUCUGCUGCCCAGGCUUCCCCUCUAGUCCAGCCUGGCCUCUGCACCCCCUUCUGCCAUCCACUUACACCCCAAGAAGUGAUCCACGGCAGCUGAGGAGAGCUUGGGAAGGAACCUCCCCCACACACCUGCUUCCCCCCAUUUUUCUCCACCCCAACUUCAAUGUCUUGACUUUUUCCUACAGCUUUUGAAGGAAGAAUCCACCAAGACUUUAGUCUCUCCCAACCCAGGGAAUAAGAAGAGAAAAAAAGUCCUGAAAACAAAAACCCGACAACAACCUUAAAGUAGGAGAGAUUGGUUGGAAGGCUUUUAAUCCCUUAAUCCCUCUCAGAUGGGCCUUGAGACGCUAAUGAUUUUCCUAAUUAUUCCCUCCGAUUUUCCCAUCGCUCUGUAAGGACCUUCGAGAAGAGCGAAAUUCCGAGUGAGCGGGUGUGGGAUGAAUGGCAGGCCCACCUCCCCCACAUCGGACCCAGAGUCCAGGCGGCUGGAGAGGUGGGGGAAGGGCCAGGAGUGCCCCAGCUGGGGGCUUGGGCUUCUCCGCCACUGACACCAGUGUGCAGGGCGGGCCUGGGACAAUGGGGCGGUUGGGGGCUGCCUGAGAGGGCCAGGUGUGGGGCUGGGGUCCCCUCAGUGUGAAUGGCCCAUUAUCCUGCCUUGAGGAUGGGAGUUGAGGGUCUCUUUGUGUCCCCCAGGAAAGGCCUCUCUGGCGAUAAUCACCCUGAGAGGGCGGUGGAGGUGGUGAGGAGGAUCUUUAAAGGGGGCCAAACCUCCCCAGAGAACAGUUGGCCAUUCAGGCCUCCAGCCCCUCUCUUGUCUCCAGCAGCCUGGGAUUCAGUGGCCCAUCUAUGGGGGGUGGGGCGAGGGCUAGGCCAACACACAUGGCCAAGCUUGGGCUUAGGCCCCCUCCCCAUCAGUGUGGCCUGCCAGACUGAGCCCAGGGGUGGCUUCUCCAGGAAACCACCCCAGCCUCCCUCUCAACCCCCACCUAAUGUUGGGUGCCCUGGGGCUUUGUCUCAUUUCCCCUGAGACACUGAGUUUCUCUGGGGGCCAGAUCUGCCUGGGAGCAGACAUUGACCUUUGACCCUGCCAUGUCCUCUUUUAUGAAACAUGGGGAUUCUCAUUCCACUCCUACAAAUUCCCUAUGGGAUGAGGGCAUUAGCCCCAUUUCACAGAUGACAAACUGAGCACUUAGCAGACUUGUCUAAGGUUACACAUCAAGUUAGGGGCAAAUUAGAUUAGAGCUGGAUCCUUCUUUUUUUGUUUGUUUGUUUGUUUUUUGAAAGCCCUGAUACUGUACCAGGUACAAGGCUUUUGUACAGGCUGUCCCUCUGACCGAAAUGCUCACCUCCCAAACAACCCGAGGGCUGAUUCUGCGCCUCCCUUGGUCUUUGCUUGAAUCACAUCCUUCAUGGAAGGAGAUGUCUGGGAUUUGCUUCAAAAUAACACGGGAAGUGGGGGAAAAGGAGGUGGGAGUGCAGAUGAAACAAGAUUGGCAGAUGUUGAAGCUAGACGAGGGAUAGGUGGGGUCUCAUUAUACUAUUCUGUUUAUUUUAUAUCUAUUUUUAAAUUUCCACAAGAAAAAGUGGAACAAAACCUGGUUUUCCCUAAGCACCUUAUUUUAUUUUUGAGGCAGAGUCUCGCUGUUGCCCAGGCUGUAGUGCAGUGGUGCGAUCUCAGCUCACUGCAACCUCUGCCUCCUGGGUUCAAGUGACUCUUGUGCCUCAGCCUCCCGAGUAGCUGGGAUUGCAGGUGCCCACCACCACGCCCAGCUAAUUUUUGUAUUUUUACAAAAAAUUUUCAUCGUGUUUUACCAUGUUAGCGAGGCUGGAGGCACCUUAUUUUAAAUUGCAAUUCACCAUCCCCAGCCCAGCCUUGCCUCGUACCCUUUCCUUGUUUUUCUCCAGAUCACUUAUUAUGGUGUGAAACUCUUAAGUAUUUUACCCAUUUGUUUUGAUUCUUGCCAAUGGGCUACACUAGGUUAAAGGUCAUGGGGUCAGAGGUCUUGGGGUUCAUUUGUGCAGGCCGGUUGGCCAGUGCCCCAGCAAGAAGAGCAGCGCCUGGCACCGGGAUGCCUUUGAUCCUGUGAGUCAAGGUCUGGGUGACGCGGUGUCCAGAGGCUCUUGGCCCAGUUGCCAAGGAAAGGGACGGCCUGUCAGUUGUGUUUUGGGCCUGUCGGGUCCUUCAGCACCUGGAGCCACAGCCGGAGGGUUCCUUCCCAGCACUCCCAGCCUGGGAUAAGCCCCUAAGUGUCCCAUUAUGUACCAUUCACUCUUACUUUGUCGGCCCCAUCCACAGCCGCUGCGUCCUUUUGUCAGAGGGGCCUGGGAGGGCGAGGGGCUAUUACCACAAGGCCUCAUUAUUCCCAGCCAGAGUAGUAAUGAGGAGUCCCUUCCCCAGACUAGUACAUUUUGCAGGGCCCCUCCCAUUUAAUAACUAUAAUAAAGGCCACCAUUUAUGAGUCCUCUCCUACACCAAACACUUUACAUACAUUAUCUCAUUUAAUUCCCCCGACAGCUCUGGGAAAUAGCUACUAUUUGUAUCCCCAUUUUUCAGAUGAGAAAGCUAAGACAGAGACUACAAUUUCUUUCUCCUCGGCUCAGCUGUACAGGCAAGGGUAGGGCAGGGACACAACAAUGUCCCAGUAGGGACAACUGAGGUUCGGAGAGGGGACGUGGCCUGGGGAAGAGCACACUGCAGAUUAACAACAGGGCAGCGAGAUCCCCUUCACUGUGUGCGGGGAAGGGCAAGUGGAAGCUCUCAGUUCUCCAGGUGACGUCUCACUCCUAUCCCCCAGCUGCAGUAGGGGAGUGGCCAUCACUGUCUCACCCCUCACGGGCAGGUGCUUCAGUGACUUACUCAUGUGUACACAACUAGUGAGAAUCCAGGUGCUCUGUCCACGAUACCAACUGGGGGACGGCAGGUGAGAAGGGAAUCAUCCUGAGAGGCUCCUGAAGGAUGAGGCUGAGUGUGGGCCACCAUGAGUGGGCCCAGCUGGCCCAGCAGGAGGCAGGGGUAGAGUGAUGGAAGGGGAAGGCAAAGAGAAGGGACUGAAAUGCCACUGGUUCCUCUUUUUUUUUUUUUUUUUGAGAUGGAGUUUUGCUCUUGUCGGCCAGGCUAGAGUGCAGUGGCGCUGUCUCGGCUCACUGCAACUUCCACCUCCCGGGUUCAAGCGAUCCUGCCUCAGCCUCCUGAGUAGCUGGGAUUACAGGCGCCUGCCACCAUGCCUGGCUAAUUUUUGUAUUUUUAGUAGAGACGAGGGUUCACCACGUUGGCCAGGCUGGUCUCGAACUCCUGAACUUAGGUGAUUCUCCUGCCUCAGCCUCUCAAAGUGUUGGGAUAACAGGCAUGAGCCACUGUGCCCAGCCAGAGGUUCUCUUAUGCUCUGGCCUUUGGGGUCAAACACUGUCCUUCCAGCCU